rnacentral:lncRNA from 1 species
GCCUUCAUACCUCUCUAUCUCUUCAAGUGCACCCUGAAAGUAACUUGAAAAUACUUUUAAAAGUCUGACCUAUGUGUUCUGCAGGACAAUAAUCUUCAUGGAUCAAAACUGGAAGAAAAUGCAGAAUUAUACCCUGCCAUUGAAACUGUCUUGCUUGCAACUGCCAAAAUACAUACAGAGGGUUAUCUCAAAUGCCUCAGUUAAAAGGGCAGAGCAUAACAAGAGAGGCAGAUAUGAAAGGUCCAAGAAGAGACUGGAACAAGGAACCUACAUUGAAAAUGGAAACAGUACAUAAAAUCUAACACAUGAUAAUAUGCUCAUUGUGCCUACAAUGCUGCUGAACUGAAAAGUGAAAAUGAACUUUAAAAGAUGCUCAGUGCAAUUUAACUUGGAAACAAUAAGCCUAAUAAUAACUAUUGUGAAGGACUCAGACAGAAAGGGCAUGAGCUCUUUGGAAACUGAAGAUGAAACAAGUGCUUUUUGCUGCUCUCUGGACAUCUAAAAGCAGGAGCAGUAACAAAGGGACAUCUAUUUUUUUUUUUUUUUCACCAUUUUAUGGCUAAAAAGAAUACCAUAAUGACUGGAUGGGAUCUACACUGAAACUAAUAACAAAACCAUUAUAAUGAUUUCAGGAUACCUAAUACUUUUCAUUCAUUUCAUAAGUGCAUGCAGCAGUUAAUCAUCACUGAGUCAUUUUGGAACUCCAGUGGACACAUAAUGAUGGGAAGCAGCAAAAUGAGAAGAGGAGCUGGGCCAGAAGCUGGACAGCAUGCCUACCUGAGUUUUGUAGAAGUCAGAGGGAAAUGCUACAGGACACACGUUAAAGACUAUGAGAACUCUGGUAGCUCAGCAUACUUUGUUUUAGCUCUGACCAGCAACCAGGGAGAACACGUCCAUAUCUAA